GGACAACCUGCCCUCGGGAGGGGGAUAACCCCGGGAAACUGGGGCUAAACCCCCAUAGGGGAUGGAUACUGGAAUGUUCCAUCUCCGAAAGUCCGCAAGGAGCCCGAGGAUGGGUCUGCGGCGGAUUAGGUAGUUGGUGGGGUAACGGCCCACCAAGCCUAAGAUCCGUACGGGCCAUGGGAGUGGGAGCCCGGAGAUGGACCCUGAGACAAGGGUCCAGGCCCUACGGGGCGCAGCAGGCGCGAAACCUCCGCAAUGCGGGGAACCGCGACGGGGUCAGCCGGAGUGCCGAUGCUUGCAUCGGCUGUCGGGGAGCCUAAAAAGCUCUCCAAGCAAGGGCCGGGCAAGGCCGGUGGCAGCCGCCGCGGUAAUACCGGCGGCCCGAGUGGCGGUCACUAUUAUUGGGCUUAAAGCGUCCGUAGCCGGGUUGGUUAGUCUCCCGGGAAAUCUGGCCGCUCAACGGUCAGAAUUCCGGGAGAUACUGCCAGCCUAGGGACCGGGAGAGGCCGAGGGUAUUCCCGGAGUAGGGGUGAAAUCCUAUAAUCCCGGGAGGACCACCUGUGGCGAAGGCGCUCGGCUGGAACGGGUCCGACGGUGAGGGACGAAGGCCAGGGGAGCAAACCGGAUUAGAUACCCGGGUAGUCCUGGCUGUAAACGAUGCGGACUUUGUGUCGGACAAGCUAUGAGCUUGUCCGGUGCCGGAGGGAAACCGUU
rnacentral:rRNA from 1 species